UCAGUGUCUGAGUUCUCAGACCAGCUCUACCUUACCAAGUUUCCUGGCAUGGUCCAUUGUUCCACAGUAAACCACCAAACAAUCUCUCAGUCCGAACAGUUUUUAGCUUUUGGUUCUUUUUUGAGAAGCCCUCACAGUGGCUCCACUAGUUCAUACUCCCAUCACAUGCUGCACACCACCCCAAGGAGCAGCCCGAUGAAGAAGAAGCCUACAGCAAUGGCAGCUAGGAAGGAAAAUGAUGUCUGCAGAGGUUCCUGGGAUCUGUAUGCUUCUUGGGAUGGUUUUUCUGGGAAAAUGAACAAAAAGCCAUUGGUAGGAGAGGACACAAGCAGACUUCCACUUGGCUGACAGACACCACCCAAAGUCAGCUGCAGACUGCAAACUGCUGAGCCCUGGACUGAGAGGCUGAUGUGAUUGCUCCGUGUCUCUUCAGCUGGAUCAGCUAAGCAGAGAUGCUUUUGAUGAGUUAGUUCCCCACUGCCCAGCCUCUGCCGAGCCAUUUAGCCUUCCUGGGCCCUGACUAUGACACCCUAGUUUCAAUUGCAAGUAGUUAGAAAAUUGAACACGACGUCCCUGGUCUCCUAAAAGAUUGAAAUGCCAAGUCAAAAGAAACUUCCUGGCAUAGGGGACAAAAUGUCUACCCAUAAUGCCAACUGUCAUACCGGGAAAGUGGGCUCAGAUUUAUCAACAGGUAGACUCAUUAACUGAAACAGUUCUAC
rnacentral:lncRNA from 1 species